rnacentral:lncRNA from 1 species
CGCAGGCCUAUUGUUGUGUGCCACUCCAAUCUAAAUAAAUUCCACUGUUAAAAUCCACUAGAUUGCCUCCUAAGAACCUUACCAAAAGUAAGUAGGUUAAUAUUGCUUCUAAAAUUAUAGUCUGAAUGGUUAUCUAGGACCAUGAAGAGACUAAGAUAUUGAAAUAUACAAGUGGUCAAGGGAUAGAUGCUUUAUUAGUACAUAUAUAAACCCAUAUAUCUAUAAAAGUGCUAUGAGGGCAAGUGCUAAGUUGUUAAAACAAAUUCAAAUACAUAAAGGAAUAAAACUAUUACAAAUAAGCAUGCAUAUGUUAAAUAAGAAAAACCACACAAACUUUAUUUAUUGUGUUUUUUGUUUUGUGGUGCAUCCUUUUUCCAACUCCUUGAGAACCCUGUAAACAACUGCUAUCCCUUUCAAUUGAUCCUAUCUGACUGGUUAAAAACGCUCCUUCAGACCGCUGGGUGUAAUUGUUUGUAUGUCUCUUAUCCACCUACGUUCCACUGCUUUUCGCCGCCCACUGGUCCACCCAGAACACAACUGUAAUCCUGAUAUAUUGAGGUAAGUGAUGGGAUGAUCCUGGAAAUGAGUGACUAGUUCUGUGUGUAGAUGGGCCCGUUUGAUAUUGUAUAGAUGUUGUUUAUGUCUAUUUUCUAUUGUAUACUGGGUUUCCCUAAUGUAGUGUUUUUGCAAAAUGUGCAAGUAUAUAUAUAUAUAUAUAUAUAUAUGACAUUUUGAGUGUAGAGUGAAAUUGAGUCUAAUACUGAAGUGGAGGUCUUGCUAUAUGAGUUUGACAUUUUUCUUGGUCUGAAGUGGGCCGUGUAGGGUUUGGGUGGUUGUGGGGGCUUAGUACUGUAUUUAACUUGGAUGAGAAUGUCUUUGAGACUCUUACUCCUCCUAAAUGCUGAGAUUAUUCUAUACGGCUGGAGGGGUGCGUGUGCCUCUUGGGUAAUGGAAAAAUUGUGUUUGAUUUGGAAAUGUCUCCGGAACCUCUAUAAUGAAGGUUGGGGUCAGAAAGAGUGAUGGACAGACUUGUGUUAUGUGAGUGUGUAGGCUAAAUGGGAGAGAGGGCCCCCAAGGUGCUGUUUUUUUUUAUAGUUCUGAGAUAUCGUUUGGAGUAACCUCUGAGUGCAUUAAAUAGUGUUUGAAUUGCUUUUACCAGAUCCUGUUUGCAGGAGGAUAUCCUAUGAAACCAUAUAAUUUAACGAUGCCUCUAAAUGUGUUUGGGGUGAUAACGGUGUUUUUGGAGUAAAGCAUGUGUAUCUGUUGGUUAGAAAUAAACUUUAGUGAGUAUUGUUUUUCGAGACUGAUUUACAUGAUUAAAGAAGACUGUAGUAUCCAAGAAGUGUACUUCACAUGGAUCUAUUAUGUAUUUAACCUUAAUGGACGGGUGGUGACUUGAGAAUGGGUUAGGGUUAGAGGGUAGGGGUUGGGGUUAGGGUUAGAGGGUUGGGGUUCGGGUAAAUGGCUGGAAGGGAAGUCAUUAGCAUCCAAGGGUUACAAUGGGCAGACCGAUAUGAGACUGAUCUGUCGGUAACGAAGACUUUCAAGAUAAGAUAGACAUUUACGCUCGGUUCAACAACUUAAAACUUUAUAGCCAUUUUUACAAUAACGCUAUGCAAAUGGUUUCAUCAAGCGGUGAAUUACCAUGGACAGAAGGGAUGGAACUUCACGCUGCCGACAAGAGACAACUUCCACCCGGGCAACUUCAAGGGACGGAAGGGAUUCCCGCUGCCGACCAGAGCCAACUUUCAAAGUCCAAAUCUGAGAUAGCAUUCUUUGUCCGCCUC